rnacentral:rRNA from 1 species
GACGAACGCUGGCGGCGUGCCUAAUACAUGCAAGUCGAGCGAACAUUUGAGAGCUUGCUCUCAAAUGUUAGCGGCGGACGGGUGAGUAACACGUGGGCAACCUGCCUAUAAGACUGGGAUAACUUCGGGAAACCGGAGCUAAUACCGGAUAAUUCACAUCUACACAUGUAGAUGUGCUGAAAGACGGUUUACGCUGUCACUUAUAGAUGGGCCCGCGGCGCAUUAGCUAGUUGGUGAGGUAAUGGCUCACCAAGGCGAUGACGGGUAGGGGACCUGAGAGGGUGACCCCCACAAUGGAACUGAAACACGGUCCAUACACCUACGGGUGGCAG